rnacentral:misc_RNA from 1 species
AAAGUCGUAACAAGGUUUCCGUAGGUGAACCUGCGGAAGGAUCAUUAUUAAUACUUGGUUAACACCAGUAAUUCAUGUGCAACACAACCUGACGCUGCCAAAAUUUGCCUGGUGUCUGCCCUUGGACAGCAUCGGUCAUACCUGGCAGCAGCCCCUACUGAUCUGUCAGUUCCGGGCAACUCAGGCAUCUCGAGCCCUUGGGUAAGAGAUUGCCUGCAACUUUUUUAAUCAGUCUUUGAUAAUCCGUCAUCAGGGAAAGCCGCAAGGCACUACCUGCUCUGGCAUAAAAAGGGUAAAAAACUUUUAGCAACGGAUCUCUAGGCUCUC